AUACUUAGCUGGGAGAGAGACACCAUGCUCACGAAGGUGGUCUUCCCAGGGCCAGGCUUAUCCAUUGCACUCUGCAUGGGCUGCCCACUGUGAUUUCCCCAAAUGCAGGAAACUCGGAGGCAUAAAUGCCGUAGUGGGACACAGCGUUUGUACUUUCCCCUG
ensembl:snRNA U1 U1 spliceosomal RNA